CCCGCUGAACUUAAGCAUAUCAAUAAGCGGAGGAAAAGAAACCAACAGGGAUUGCCUCAGUAACGGCGAGUGAAGCGGCAACAGCUCAAAUUUGAAAUCUGGCUCUUUCAGGGUCCGAGUUGUAAUUUGUAGAAGAUGCUUCGGGUGUGGCUCCGGUCUAAGUUCCUUGGAACAGGACGUCAUAGAGGGUGAGAAUCCCGUAUGUGACUGGUUGCCUUCGCCCAUGUGAAGCUCUUUCGACGAGUCGAGUUGUUUGGGAAUGCAGCUCAAAAUGGGUGGUAAAUUUCAUCUAAAGCUAAAUACUGGCCAGAGACCGAUAGCGCACAAGUAGAGUGAUCGAAAGAUGAAAAGUACUUUGGAAAGAGAGUCAAAAAGCACGUGAAAUUGUUGAAAGGGAAGCGCUUGCAGCCAGACUUGCCUGUAGUUGCUCAUCCGGGCUCUCGCCCGGUGCACUCUUCUGCGGGCAGGCCAGCAUCAGUCCGGGCGGUCGGAUAAAGGUCCUGGGAAUGUAGCUCCCCUCGGGGAGUGUUAUAGCCCGGGGCGUCAUGCGACCAGCCUGGACUGAGGUCCGCGCAUCUGCUAGGAUGCUGGCGUAAUGGCUGUAAGCGGCCCGUCUUGAAACACGG
rnacentral:rRNA from 1 species